rnacentral:rRNA from 1 species
GAUGAACGCUGGCGGCGUGCCUAAUACAUGCAAGUCGAGCGAACGGACGAGAAGCUUGCUUCUCUGAUGUUAGCGGCGGACGGGUGAGUAACACGUGGAUAACCUACCUAUAAGACUGGGAUAACUUCGGGAAACCGGAGCUAAUACCGGAUAAUAUUUUGAACCGCAUGGUUCAAAAGUGAAAGACGGUCUUGCUGUCACUUAUAGAUGGAUCCGCGCUGCAUUAGCUAGUUGGUAAGGUAACGGCUUACCAAGGCAACGAUGCAUAGCCGACCUGAGAGGGGGAUCGGCCCACCGGAAACUGGAAACGGGUCCGACCCCCCAGGGGGGGAGGGGGUGGGAAUUCUGCCGCAAGGGGCGAAAGCCUAACGGGGCAACCCCGGGUGGGGGAGGAGGGGCUCCGGUUCGUAAAACUCUGUUUUUAGGGAAAAAAAAAUUUGUAAGUAACGGUGAACAUUUUGACGGAACCAAAUAAAAAAGCCCCGGCUAACUACGG